rnacentral:sRNA from 1 species
UGAAGGCAGAAAGAAAUGAAAAUAUAGAAAACAUAACUAAAAGAGAAUAAACAACCAAUUACCAUUUACCGUUCCAAAGACCUUCAUCGUCGAAUUUCAAGAACAAUGAAGGUCUUUGAAAGAUACUUUUGUCA